rnacentral:rRNA from 1 species
UACGAAGGGGGCUAGCGUUGUUCGGAAUUACUGGGCGUAAAGGGCGCGUAGGCGGCCAGCGCAAGUCAGUUGUGAAAUCUCCGGGCUUAACUCGGAAAGGUCAACUGAUACUGGCGGGGCUAGAGUGCAGAAGGGGCAACUGGAAUUCUCGGUGUAGCGGUGAAAUGCGUAGAUAUCGAGAGGAACACCUGCGGCGAAGGCGGGUUGCUGGGCUGACACUGACGCUGAACUGCGAAAGCUAGGGGAGCGAACGGG